rnacentral:misc_RNA from 1 species
CCUAAGAGAUACGUGUUAUGUGUAGUGCUCACACAGAUUGUCUGAUGAAGAACGAGCAGAAAUACCGGUAUAGGCUUGUAGCUCAGGUGGUUAGAGCGCACCCCUGAUAAGGGUGAGGUCGGUGGUUCAAGUCCACUCAGGCCUACCAAAUCGUAUUGAUACUGCGUUAUGAACUCACUCGUUUACUGUAAGUAAACUUCGUGACUCCACGCCUUGUCUCACUACGAUUAGCUCAAUUCUUAAUUAAAGGAACAUUUCCGAUAAGAAAGAAAGCUGAGUAACAAAAAACGGUAUUAAGAAUGCAUUAUGGGGCUAUAGCUCAGCUGGGAGAGCGCCUGCCUUGCACGCAGGAGGUCAGCGGUUCGAUCCCGCUUAGCUCCACCAUAAUCUCUUGAAUAUAAACUAAUAAUUCAGAGUAUAUUAGCAAUAGUAUACUGCGAAUUAUUUUGCUCUUUAACAAUCUGGAACAAGCUGAAAAAUUGAAAACAAAUCAAUAUAUCACCGAGGUAUAUUGAUGAGUCUCUCAAAAUCUCAAACUUUGAAUGUGUUUUUGGACAUCAAAGUGGGAUGAGCGAGCAAUUUACAGUUCGAGGCGGCCAGCGCACAGCCAGCGCAACAUACAUAAGUAUGUGAGCAUGGCGAGCACUGCCCAACAACGAAAUGUAAUCUGCGCAGCCAUCACCACCCAGAUGUCUUCAAGAAAAGACACCUUCGGGUUGUGA